GGGGGAAUCUGAUAAUGGUAAUCAGUUGUAUUUGCAUUACAAAUAUGAUAGUUCGAAUCUAUCUUUCUCCAAUAAAUAAA
rnacentral:tRNA from 1 species